GUGUGUGUCUCUCUGUGUGUGUGUGUAAAGAAAAUGACAAAACUCUCACCUGGAUCUUGAAAAAUGAAUAGGACAGUCAUGGCUCUUUAACAGUAACAGAAAAGGGGAGAUACACCUAGGGACAAGGAGACAGUGUGGGGGAAAAAAAUGUGGGGGAAAAAAGCCUGGUUCAGUUUCUGGCAUAGAAAUUGACCUUCCCGGAGGAGGUCAAUCCGCGUUUAUCAUCUCCAAAUCUUAACGGUGAUUGGUGAGACCCAGGAGGAAUGAGGAGGCUCAGGGAUUCCACAGCUAGCCCUGAACCUUCACGACUAGAGACUGUUAACAGUCGGUGAUUUACCAGGACACACAGGGCCCAGAACCCAGACCAGGCUCUGCUUACUGUCCCAAUCUGUCACAGAGCCAUAGAGGCCCAGCGGUACACGACAUGAUGGCCCCAGGAAGGCCAGAAAACACAAGAAGCAUAUUCUUUCCAUGGACAAAUAUGCCCUGACUAUGGGGCGGAUGGAACAGUCAGACUGCUGUCUGCUAGAAAAGCAAGAAUUCCUCACACCCCCCCCCCCACCAUCCAUGCUUCUGGAUACCGAGGACAUUUUCAAGGCUCUAAAGCCCAGCCCAGUGAAUCGCCGGGUGUGCAGUACCGGGAAAGCAUCGAGGGCAUUGCUUGAAGCUCACGGUUCCAUUUGCUUCCACGAGAUUGAGAAAAGUUCUUAUUUUCCUGAUGGUUACUGAUGCUGUGGUCAGUUGACUCAGAUGCCAUCUUGACUGUUUCCAGUGCCCCGAAGCAUAAAUCCUCAGUGUUACAGGUGAACUAGGGUUCUAGUGAAGCUCUCUCUAGACCCGAAGAUCAAGUCAUUUCUAUCAAGCAAUACAGAGCAAGAAAAUGGGUAAGGAUCUGCCCGAGCAUUGACAGGCUUGGGGCCCCGUAUGAGAACCACACUGUGCUCUGUAUGGAGUUGCCUAUGUCUCUUCUGUAUCAUUCAUUCUUUCAUGGUGUGUUAGCCUUGUGCUGGCCACUUGGGCACAAGGUAAGUAUCUCUCAUAAUCACGGCUGGCCCAGCUCCCUUCCUCCCAGCAAGCCAACUUCUCAUCCAGAGUCCACGCCCCCAGUGUUGUCCCUCCUCACAGCAGCAACAGCUGUAGCACUGUCCCUGCCAACCUUGACAGAGUUGCCAUGCAUGGAAGCACAGGUUAGUCCAUGUGGCACGCAUGGAAGAGGCAUGUAUAUGAAAUAAGCAUGUAAGAAUAGCUAAGAAUUCAUGAGCACGUAUAACAUACAUGGAGGCAGAACUGAUUACAUGUACCAUGUAUAGGCGCAUAUAAUAGGCAUUUAAGUCCUAUGUAGACAAGAGCAGCCUUGAACAUGCCUGUCUUCCUGCCUCUGUCUCCAGAGUGCUGGUGUGGCCUGGCUCCUGAAUUUGUGAUGCAGCAAGCCUGCUGCUCAGGUUUCUCCUCUGCUGGCUCUCACUGCCUUCCAAGAACAUUGCUGAAAGUGCUUCCACAUUUGUUCAGGCACAGCAGAAAAGCACACCCUGACUCAUGGAGUACUUCUUGGGCAUAUAGGCUGGUAUGUGGGUGGGGGGAUGCUCCAAAAGUUCACCAUCCCAGCCCAGUAGAAUCCAAAACAGCCAACUGGCUAUUGAGCUGCAGCACAGUCACCACCAGUAUGGAGGAAAUUCCCCGAGCUGUGUGCCCACCGUGGUCCACCAGUAGAGUCUCCAAGGCUCACCCUGGCCCUUAUUGGCAUUUUGGUUGCGUUUGUGGGCCCUGACCUCUCAAAGGGACUGGGCCACCACUUAUUAAUUUCUGUAUCCUUAUUUUCUAAUUCUAGGCCAACAUUAAGGGGACACCUAAAACAACCAUGUGUGCAAUGGCAUGGAAUAUCCACCCAAGUCAUCCACCAAAAAUGGCUUCUCUGAAACCUGAACCUUUUAGGCCACAUAACAAAGCCCUUCCACAUGUCAGCCAUUGUCAGCAGAAGGCCAGAAGGGGUGGGAUUAAAUCUAUGUUGUGCACUCACUAAGUGUCAGGCUUCUGGCUUCCAAAUGCUGUUUCAUUUAAUCCUCCAAGCAGCUCCGUGAAGUCGUUAUUGUUUCCCUUUUUAUGGAUGCAGAACUAAAUCUCAACCAGCCCCCUGGCUGGGACUCGGGCUCUGCCAUUCAUUAACUGUGUGCCUUUGGGGUGUCUCUGUUUCUAUCCCUUCGGUUAUUUUAGUUUGUCCCUCUGCCCCCCGGGGAUUUGAGGACAGCAGCUGCACUUUGUAAAUCCACAUUUUCUCAUCUCAGAGAGAAAGCAUCUCCACUUAUAAACAAUUCAAGUAUCUCCAGGGUCCCAGGCUUUUGUGGUUCAGAUCUGAAGUGUUUCCCACGAGCCCUGCUUAAGCAUCAUAUGAAGUCUAUUCAAGCAGGAGGACAGUGGUCCGUGGAGCAACACUCCACAUGGUCACUCGUGGACCCUAGUUCUUGGCGAAACUUCACUCACCUUGUGUCCUCUAGUUUAUCCUGGGUGUGUAUUGUUAUCAUUUGUGUCCAGAAUUUCUCCCUCCAUCUUCUCCAUUUGAGCAGUCGUUCCCCAGUAGAUGGCGCUGUUUUGAGAUCCUCCUGCCUGGAAGAUAGUGGGUCUUUGAAGGGCUGGUAUUGAGGAGUACAGUCCUGCUUCACUUCCAGGCCAAAGUCUUUCUACCCUCUGCCUGCCUGUGACAUCUGUGACAUGUCUACUCCCACCAUCAUGAACAAGAGCUGGUCCCACCUCCGCGCCAUGCCCAGCAUGAAGAACUAUCCCUAUUUCUAAGGGAGCCAAAAUAAGCCUCUCCUCCCGUAAGUUGCUUCUGUGAGGUGUUUAGUUGUAAUGAUGUAGAUGUAACGAACCGAAGUACCAGCACCCAGAGGAUGACCACGCCAAGUUCCCACCUGCACUGCAUGCUGGAGCACAUGGCUGAGCCCCACUCCAUACAAGCUAGCAAAAGAGGAUGUGUUCCCAGAGUUGAGGGAUGCAGAUUGGUGAGCAGGUAACCCGUCUCUGACACAGACACUGGGGACUGACUCAAUGAUACCCAGGGGCACAGCACUUUGAGCUGACCAUGCACAGCAGUGUAACAUCAUCUCUUUGCCUCAAACUCUCCUUCUGAAACAGCAUCUGGUCCUGGGUUCCUGAGGCUGAGACUCCACUUAAAUAUUUUUCUUAAGUGAUGAAGAACUCUCCCACAAAAACAAAAAACAAAAUCAGUUCUACUGCUAAUUGUAGAA